rnacentral:misc_RNA from 1 species
GGAGAAUGCAACACUAAGAAAGCACCUACAAUCUAGUAAUGAACCUUCAUCAGGACAACACACAGACCAAAACAUCAAGUUAAAAGAUCAUAUACCAAUCGAAAGCCAACAGGAGUGAGAUUUCAAAGUACAUCUCCAAAAUUAUUUUGAGCAAAUAUUAGUCCAUACAGAAAUUGACAAGUUGAAGUACCUAGGUGUAGUAAUUUAAAACAGAAAUCAACCCAACCCACUCAGGAAGAAUUUAAUUGUCUUCCUUCCAAGAUUAUUACAGGGCUCUAAAUACUUCAUGGUACAAACUUUGUGCGUGGCCUGCCCCACUCAUCAUCAUGCAAAUGCUUCUAUUAUUCUAAUCUUAGCAAGUCUCUUUCACCACCCACCCAAUUAUCCGCACUCCAAAAAGAAGUGAACGAACUCUUUGACGAUGCCUUUGUACACCAAUACAGGGAUUGCGAUACCGAAGAUACCUACAAUCGCUAGGUUUCGUCGAGUCCAUCGAAAGUUGAGCUCCAGAUUCUCCCUUGCGGCUCCCCAUUCUUCGAUCCACUUGUUCUUGUUGUACUCCAUUCCCCCACCCAUUUUUCCUCUCUCGUCUUCAGCUUUGCCUCUUGAGAUUUGAGAAUUUUGGAUAGUCGCUGAGGGUACCUCUAUUACUCUGUUUAUACCGAAAUGACUAUAAUGACCUCCUCGGUCUCUCGCUCUAAUUCCGAUGAAACCCAAACAGCUGUUUUUAG